UGACGCCUACGGGAGGCAGCAGUGAGGAAUAUUGGUCAAUGGGCGCGAGCCUGAACCAGCCAAGUCGCGUGAGGGAAGACGGUCCUAUGGAUUGUAAACCUCUUUUGUCGGGGAGCAAAAGACGCCACGCGUGGCGUUCCGAGAGUACCCGAAGAAAAAGCAUCGGCUAACUCCGUGCCAGCAGCCGCGGUAAUACGGAGGAUGCGCGCGUUAUCCGGAUUUAUUGGGUUUA
rnacentral:rRNA from 1 species